AUUGAACGCUGGCGGCAUGCCUUACACAUGCAAGUCGAACGGUAACAGGUUAAGCUGACGAGUGGCGAACGGGUGAGUAAUGUAUCGGAACGUGCCCAGUCGUGGGGGAUAACUGCUCGAAAGAGCAGCUAAUACCGCAUACGACCUGAGGGUGAAAGCGGGGGAUCGCAAGACCUCGCGCGAUUGGAGCGGCCGAUAUCAGAUUAGGUAGUUGGUGAGGUAAAGGCUCACCAAGCCGACGAUCUGUAGCUGGUCUGAGAGGACGACCAGCCACACUGGGACUGAGACACGGCCCAGACUCCUACGGGAGGCAGCAGUGGGGAAUUUUGGGCAAUGGGCGCAAGCCUGAUCCAGCCAUGCCGCGUGCGGGAAGAAGGCCUUCGGGUUGUAAACCGCUUUUGUCAGGGAAGAAAAGGUUCUGGCUAAUACCUGGGACUCAUGACGGUACCUGAAGAAUAAGCACCGGCUAACUACGUG
rnacentral:rRNA from 1 species